GACACCAUGACUUUCAUCACCAUCUUCAUCUGGACACUGACUCUCUGUUUUCAUGAGUCCAGAGGACAAGUGACUGUGACUCAGACUCCCAUGACAUCUGCUCUUCCAGGAGACACAGUCACUGUUAAUUGUAAAACCAGUCCUGCAGUGUUCCGUGAUGGUGCUGGUGAUGAUUAUUUAUUCUGGUACCAACAGAAACCGGGACAGGCUCCUAAACUCCUCAUUUACUGGGCCAAUCGAUUACAGUCAGGAAUUCCAAAUCGUUUCAGUGGCAGUGGAUCUAGGACUGACUUCACUCUGACCAUCACAGGAGUCCAGACUGAAGAUGCAGGAGAUUAUUACUGUAAGAGUGAACAUAGGAUCAGUGAUAACUGGGUGUUCACACAGUGA